rnacentral:lncRNA from 1 species
AAACAAUCUUUCAGUGGUUGUUUGGUAGAUUUGUAAUUGAAACAAACAUGUACAUAGACCAAACAUCAUUUUGCUGGUGUGUUCGUAUGGGAUGUGGAUUCACACUUUGAAUGUGAGUUUCAUAGAGGGACUUGAACUUGGGGCUUUCCUUUCCUGGUAAGUUCUUCAUAUUUGUGAUGUUUGAUUUAAAAAAAAAAAAAAGUUUUAAAAAAUAAUAAGAAAAUAAAUCUGGCUCUAAACUAGGUAUUAAGAACAAGAGGAAUGUGAUGCAUAAGAGCAAAAUGUAAAUACAGAGCAAUCCUUACAAGAGGAGGAAUAAAAGAAGAAGAAAAGAAAGAGAACAUAAAAAGCCACGCAUAUCUAUCGCCAAAUGUGUCUCUUCUAAAGUAUAUGGAAAGAAGCGUCAUGAAGAGCACUGCACAGCAGGCUAGGUGUCAAGUGGACAUGUAAACCUUUCUACAAAACACUGAAGAGUGCAAUGCUUGAGCCUAUUACCUAAUAGAGACGCAAGAAAAUGGCCCAUCUGUUUGCAGUGAGCAAAUGUUUUUAGGCUUCAUCUAGAAUUCGCAUUCAUAAACGCAGCAACCUGGGGGCUUUUCACAGCACCUUAGGCAGACUGAACAGGAGCUGGCGCAUAAUCAGCGAUGGAACAGCUGUUAUCCAGAGAUAACAGAGGCUGCAGAUGUGCAUGAGGUCAAGGGAGACAAUGCUGCACUCAGAGCAGGAGGUCCCAAGCUGCAGUCUGAGAGACCAAGGUUAGUAGUCUGUAAAGUCAUAGUAACAUUGCAUGUUGCUGUUGUCUUUGUAAUGUGUCUUUACUGUGUCUUUACUGUGCUUUAAAGCCCUUUAAUAAGGGGAGAGACAGACUGCAGGAGAGGCAUGGGUGCUCUGUGACUUCAGCAAAACCAGAAACCAUUAUGCCCACAGGUCAGGUCUGGUCUCAGAGCACAUCUCUGCCUGUCUUGACUCCCAGGUCACCCGGAGCCUUCUGCUGAGCAGGUUCCUGACCCAUGUCUUCCAGAGCAGUCUU